rnacentral:misc_RNA from 1 species
UCUUCCCGCCAGAGCACUACGAGCUCAGCUUAAAACUCAAAGGACUUGGCGGUGCUCUACACCCACCUAGAGGAGCCUGUUCUAUAAUCGACACCCCCCGAUAAACCUCACCAUCUCUUGCCACUACAGCCUAUAUACCACCGCCCUCAGUUCACCUCUUAAAAGAACAAUAGUGAACAAAAUAAUUAAAAAUAAAAAAGUCAGGUCAAGGUGUAGCAAAUGAAAUGGGAAGAAAUGGGCUACAUUUUUUAUUAUAAAAAACACGGAAUAUCACAUGAAAUAAGAUAUAAAGGAGGAUUUAGAAGUAAAAAGAAAAGAGUGUUCUUUUUAAAUUGGCAAUAGAGCACGCACACACCGCCCGUCACCCUCUUCAAGAAUAAAAUAAUUUAAAUAAAGAUAUAUAUUACAAGAAAAGGUAAGUCGUAACAUGGUAAGUCUACCGGAAGGUGGCCUUGGAAUCAAAAAUAUAGCUUAAAUAAAGCAUUUUGCUUACACCAACAAACUUUGUAAAACCAGAUUAUUCUGAA